rnacentral:tRNA from 1 species
GGGUAUAUAGCUCAAUGGUAGAGGACAUGCUUAACAUGCCUGAAGCCCUGGGUUCAAUCCCCAGGUACCUCCA